GACGAACGCUGGCGGCGUGCUUAACACAUGCAAGUCGAACGGUGAAGCGCCUUCCUUUUUGGUGUGUGGGUAGGGGUGGCGAGCUGGGUAAUAACACGAUAGUAACCUUCUCCCUUCUGCUGGAUAACCGCAUGAAAGUGUUGCUAAUACGGGAUAUUCUGAAUCGGUCGCAUGAUUGGUCUGGGAAAGAUUUUGUUUCGGUGAGGGAUGGGCUCGCGCCGUAUUAGCUUGUUGGUGGGGUGAUGGCCUACCAAGGCGACGAUGCGUAGCCGGCCUGAGAGGAUGAUCGACGACACUGCGACUAAUGCACGACCCAGACUCCUACGAGAGGCAGCAGUAGGGAAUAUUACUGAAUAGUCGGAAGAAUGACGGAGCAACGACGCGUCGGUGAUGAAGGACGCCUUAGCGUAGAGCACUGCUUUCGCGAGAGAAGAAGGGUUGAAUCGUCUGUGGGUGGGUUGACGGUACCUGGACAAGAAGCCACGGCUAACUACGUG
rnacentral:rRNA from 1 species